AUCAGAAAUCCUUCCAUUUGAAGUAAAGAGACUUUUCCCCAUCUGACACACAGGCCCUUCACUAGUUUAUACCAGUAGAAUGAGAAAGUGUUACAUUUUGUUGUCCAUCCAGGCUAAUACAAAAUACAGACUCAAGAUUGUUGGUAUAAUUUGGCACCUAUAAAUUUAUUUAAAUCCAUUUAUUAGUUUAACAGUAUAAUACGGCGAUGGAAAAAAACAAAACAGAAUCAUCCUGAUAGGCUUUAUAUUUACACCAUUCAGAGUAUCUUGUGGUACCCUAUUUCCCAUAGGGCUCUGGUCAAAAGUAGUGCACUACAUAGGAGUGCCAUUAGGUCCUAAUAAAAAUGAGUGCACUACAUGGGGAAUAGGGCACCAUUUGACAGAUCCAGAGUAUCUAAGCCUCUGAUUGUUACUUUUCUCUUGAAGUGUUCUCAAACUGCAUCUUUCAUGGCACCCUACACCCUAUAUAUAGUGGCCGUCUAUGGGCUCCGGUCAAAAAGUUGUGCACUAUAUAGGGAAUACUGUAGGGUACCAUUUUGGACGAUACCGAUGCAAACAACAUUCUCUACAGAAAACAUCCAUUCUAGCUGACUAAUAAGAGCACAGUCAAUGGGUUUGCAUUUCCUUGACUUGCCAUGGUGCUACAUAUGAUCAAAACAGCUAUGCUGGUAGAGAUAACAUUCAUGAAUCUGCUUCCUCCUCAUAGCCUGGUCCCAGAUCUGUUUGUGCUGUAUAGCUCAAUAUCCAUAGCCUGGGUACUAGUCUGUUUAGCUAGCAUGCCACUCAUUGUAUUCUGAGUGAUGCGUGGAAUGCUAGCUAAACAGAGACUGGUACUCAGGCUACUACAAUGACCGUAGGCUAGACAACACAGAUCUUGGACCACAAGGCUAUCCUCCUAUAGCUUUCUCCGUGUCUCGUGUUACCAUAUCUUGAAUACUAAGUAUUGUUCAUCAGCGAGGAAAAAGCCUGGAAUCCAGGUUACAUUGAUGCUAACAAAAUGGGAAUGUUUUGAAUAAACUGGAUUCCACGGGAGUUUAACAAAAUGGUGUAAAUGAAUUUUUCCAUACAGACUUUCAUCUGUGUCCUGACAUGAGAUCACAGAUUAAAUAUGUCUGUUUUCAAUUAAGCACGUCGAGAUGAUUGUCACAUUGUUUAUUCAAGAACAAAUGUUACAAACCCCCAAAACUGUGUUUGCUAAACUAACACAAUCAAAAUCAGACAUGGAAUUUGAAUUGCACUUUUCAUUCCAACUAAAAAAUAAUUCUGUAAACAAUUGAUUACAUUUGAUCUGUUUUUGAUUACAAACUAUUGACUACACAGAUGUUACUAAAUUGUUCAGAAUAUUUUACUUGCAUGUACAUCUAUAAGUCAUUUUAUACCAUGAUUUAAAAAAAAAAUGUUUGUUGUGCAAAAUGCUUUAGUAAACUAUAAUUUUGGCAUUUAUGAAAAACCACAACAAAAAAAUAAAAUAAAAAUCGGUGAAAAAAAAAAGAAAUUAUGGAUUUUCAGAACCUCUUGGAAAUAUUCCAUGGCACCCUGUUCCCUAUGUAGUGCACUAUAUAGGGAAUAGGGUUCUAUAGUGCCCUGGUCUAAAGUAGUGCACUAUAUAGGGAAUAGGGUGCCAUUUGGGAAGCAGCCCAUUGUUUUUCAUGCUCCACAUUACUUAAUAAAUAUCUGUCUCCAUCUGUAAUACUGUGCAAAAUUAUGGGUUCAGGAAGUGCAAGCAGUUCAGCCGACCAAUCAAACAACAUCUCCUCCUGCAAGAUUCUAGCUGGUGAGGUCGCAUUAGCUAAGGCUGAUACUUGGUUGGUGGGUUUUGUGUUUCGACCUAUGGCAACCCACAGUGGACCACAGGACCAGAAGUUGAAGUGUUCGAAUCAUCUUUCAGGCAAUAUUAAUAACAACCACACUACCAAGUCUGAAACCUGUACUUGGAGAUUCACAUUAAAACUCACACUAAUCAUCAUUAAAACAGCACUGUUGUGAAUGAUGGGGAAGAUCAAUAACACCCUACAAAGGAAGUUAUUGUGAAAAACAUUUUGGCAUAUUGGCAACAUUAACACUUACAUUCCGCGUAUAAGUAACCCAUUUCAAAAGCUAGAAUUGACACCCUUGUUACAACGUACCUUGGAUUUCUGUGACAGAAUUACAGGCUAAAAGAAACUGAUGAAGACAAAGACACAAGGCCCCUUUUAGAAUGAAGGAAUGUGAGGAUGCUCUAUGGUAGAAUGAAGGAAUGUCAGGAUGCUCUAUGGUAGAAUGAAGGAAGGUGAGGAUGCUCUAUGGUAGAAUGAAGGAAGGUGAGGAUGCUCUAUGGUAGAAUGAAG
rnacentral:lncRNA from 1 species